UGGAGAGUGGCGCACGGGUGAGUAACGCGUGGGGACCUACCUCUUAGUGGGGGAUAACGGUUGGAAACGACCGCUAAUACCGCAUACGCCCUUCGGGGGAAAGAUUUAUCGCUAAGAGAUGGACCCGCGUUGGAUUAGAUAGUUGGUGAGGUAACGGCUCACCAAGUCAGCGAUCCAUAGCUGGUUUGAGAGGAUGAUCAGCCACACUGGGACUGAGACACGGCCCAGACUCCUACGGGAGGCAGCAGUGGGGAAUAUUGGACAAUGGGGGCAACCCUGAUCCAGCCAUGCCGCGUGAGUGAAGAAGGCCUUCGGGUUGUAAAGCUCUUUCAGAUGCGAAGAUGAUGACGGUAACAUCAGAAGAAGCCCCGGCUAAUUUCGUGCCAGCAGCCGCGGUAAUACGAAAGGGGCUAGCGUUGUUCGGAUUUACUGGGCGU
rnacentral:rRNA from 1 species